ACCCGCUGAAUUUAAGCAUAUCAAUAAGCGGAGGAAAAGAAACCAACAGGGAUUGCCUUAGUAACGGCGAGUGAAGCGGCAAAAGCUCAAAUUUGAAAUCGGCCACCAGGUCGAGUUGUAAUUUGUAGAUUGUAUCUUGAGAGCGGAUUAAAGUCUGUUGGAACACAGCGCCUUAGAGGGUGACAGCCCCGUAAAAUCUAUUCUCAUUGUAAGAUACUUUCGAAGAGUCGAGUUGUUUGGGAAUGCAGCUCUAAGUGGGUGGUAAAUUCCAUCUAAAGCUAAAUAUUGGCGAGAGACCGAUAGCGAACAAGUACAGUGAUGGAAAGAUGAAAAGAACUUUGAAAAGAGAGUGAAAAAGUACGUGAAAUUGUUGAAAGGGAAGGGCUUGAGAUCAGACUUGGUAUUUUGCGAUCCUUUCCUUCUUGGUUGGGUUCCUCGCAGCUUACUGGGCCAGCAUCGGUUUGGAUGGUAGGAUAAUGACUAAGGAAUGUGGCUCUACUUCGGUGGAGUGUUAUAGCCUUGGUUGAUACUGCCUGUCUAGACCGAGGACUGCGUCUUUUGACUAGGAUGUUGGCAUAAUGAUCUUAAGCCACCCGUCUUGAAACACGGACCAAGGAG
rnacentral:rRNA from 1 species